GGAUUCAGCCGCUGCCGCGUGGAAAGCAGAGCCGUAGAGCCGUCCGUGUGAUCCGGUGUCGAGGGGAUGCAGACGGUCACAGGCGGAUGCACAGCGGCGCGGGCUAAUUCAGCACACCACGCUAAUCUCCGUGAUGUCACUCCAAACAACUUAGUGGUUGAAGGGUAACUAAUUAUAUCCUGAGGAUGUGAAAAUUACUGAAUGCUUAAAAGUUUGUUUCCUUUUAAUAUUCCUUCACGAUUGGUCACAGGGCUUGUUGUUCUAAUGCCCUGCUUUGGUGUACGUUCAGGACCACCACAGCGGCUAACAACGAUUAGCCGAGCAACACUUCACACCGCCGGGAAAUGAACACUUAAAGACUAUUCACUCUGAUGGGCCUCUGAGUGUGAGGGAUGCGGUAUAGAGAAACCUUCUCUUCGCCUAUAGUGUGAACGUAUAUGCAUGCAUUAUGCCGCUGUCGAGAAGUUUCCGGGCUUGGCUGAAGUCAGAUGGUCCCAGCAUGGCCUAGGGAAGUAUAUAACACUACAUGCUGCGGUCCCUCUACUUAGAUUCCUAACACUUCUUACAGAGGCAGAGCGACAAUAGAUCCCACAACACAUCCAUUCACCCCCCCUCUCCAAAACAUCCCUCCCAUUCACGCUCAUUCUCCUCCUCCUCCUACUCCUCUCCCACCCUCUCCUCCCUUCUGCUACUCUAAGCUGAUUCCCCUUCCCCCCCUCUCCUCUCUUUCUCCGUGUCUCCCUGGUCUUUUAUUCCACCGCUUCGGCCCCUGCUGUGGUUUUGUCUGGCCGAGGGGCCGGUCGUUUCCCAUGCACCUGCCUGGUCAUAGAUAUGUCACACGCAGGCUCACACAUGCACGCAC
ensembl:lncRNA